CCUACGGGCGGCAGCAGUGGGGAAUAUUGCACAAUGGGCGCAAGCCUGAUGCAGCCAUGCCGCGUGUGUGAAGAAGGCCUUCGGGUUGUAAAGCACUUUCAGCGGGGAGGAAGGCGUUAAGGUUAAUAACCUUGGCGAUUGACGUUACCCGCAGAAGAAGCACCGGCUAACUCCGGGCCAGCAGCCGCGGUAAUACGGAGGGUGCAAGCGUUAAUCGGAAUUACUGGGCGUAAAGCGCACGCAGGCGGUCUGUCAAGUCGGAUGUGAAAUCCCCGGGCUCAACCUGGGAACUGCAUUCGAAACUGGCAGGCUAGAGUCUUGUAGAGGGGGGUAGAAUUCCAGGUGUAGCGGUGAAAUGCGUAGAGAUCUGGAGGAAUACCGGUGGCGAAGGCGGCCCCCUGGACAAAGACUGACGCUCAGGUGCGAAAGCGUGGGGAGCAAACAGGAUUAGAUACCCCGGUAGUC
rnacentral:rRNA from 1 species